GGAUCGCGGAGAAGGAAAAGCGGCGUUCGCAUGGCGCCGACACCGUGAGCCAAGCCUGGGCCCCGUGGACCGUGGCUGCACGUGCGCCCCUCAGAGCACGGGGAGAAGAUGAGAGAGUAAGACUUUUGGAUAACCACACACGCUUCCUGACACACAGAACUCUGACAGCCACCUGGGAAGGAAACUCCCAGGUCAGUGGUGGACUCUGUCCCGACUUCAGCAAGCCGUGUCUAGGAUACGACUGUCAACAGAAGGUCUUGGAAAAUGCUGCAGCAUGCCAUCAGGAAGCAGUUUUCUCCUCUGUGAAACUGGCUUGAACAAGAAGUAAAUCCAUCCCUGCCAUGCAUGGCUCUCCCACCAGUUAGCUGGUGAAGACAGGCCCAGGGAGCACCAGAGAUCCUACAGACAGGAAACAUGGAGAAGAUAAAUCCAAAGAUGUGUGCAUCAAGUACACUCCAAAGGUCACCUGUGAAUAAAACGAGC